AUACGGAGGGGGCUAGCGUUGUUCGGAUUUACUGGGCGUAAAGCGCGCGUAGGCGGGCUGGUUAGUUGGGGGUGAAAUCCCAGGGCUUAACCCUGGAACUGCCCUCAAUACUGCCAGUCUUGAGUUCGAGAGAGGUAAGUGGAAUUCCUAGUGUAGAGGUGAAAUUCGUAGAUAUUAGGAAGAACACCAGUGGCGAAGGCGGCUUACUGGCUCGAUACUGACGCUGAGGCGCGAAAGCGUGGGGAGCAAACAGGAUUAGAAACCCCAGUAGUCC
rnacentral:rRNA from 1 species